CGCGUAGGUGGUUCAUUAAGUUAGGAGUGAAAGCCCCGGGCUCAACCUGGGAAUUGCUUCUAAAACUGGUGAGCUAGAGUACGGUAGAGGGUGGUGGAAUUUCCUGUGUAGCGGUGAAAUGCGUAGAUAUAGGAAGGAACAUCAGUGGCGAAGGCGACCACCUGGACUGAUACUGACACUGAGGUGCGAAAGCGUGGGGAGCAAACA
rnacentral:rRNA from 1 species